rnacentral:rRNA from 1 species
GAGCUUGCUCAGAUAUGACGAUGGACAUUGCAAAGAGUGGCGAACGGGUGAGUAACACGUGGGAAACCUACCUCUUAGCAGGGGAUAACAUUUGGAAACAGAUGCUAAUACCGUAUAACAAUAGCAACCGCAUGGUUGCUACUUAAAAGAUGGUUCUGCUAUCACUAAGAGAUGGUCCCGCGGUGCAUUAGUUAGUUGGUGAGGUAAUGGCUCACCAAGACGAUGAUGCAUAGCCGAGUUGAGAGACUGAUCGGCCACAAUGGGACUGAGACACGGCCCAUACUCCUACGGGAGGCAGCAGUAGGGAAUCUUCCACAAUGGGCGAAAGCCUGAUGGAGCAACGCCGCGUGUGUGAUGAAGGGUUUCGGCUCGUAAAACACUGUUGUAAGAGAAGAAUGACAUUGAGAGUAACUGUUCAAUGUGUGACGGUAUCUUACCAGAAAGGAACGGCUAAAUACGUGCCAGCAGCCGCGGUAAUACGUAUGUUCCAAGCGUUAUCCGGAUUUAUUGGGCGUAAAGCGAGCGCAGACGGUUAUUUAAGUCUGAAGUGAAAGCCCUCAGCUC